AGCGGUGGGAGCGGACUUGUUCCGUGACCGCGUGCCUUUUGCAUAAUGGGCCAGCGAGUUGCUUUGCCGUGCGAGGUUAAGGAGUGAUCCGAAGCCGAAGCGAAAGCGAGUCCGAACAGGGCGUCGAGUACGGCGGAGCAGACCCGAAGCCGGGUGAGCUAUCCAUGAGCAGGUUGAAGCUCGGGUAAAACCGAGUGGAGGACCGAACCGUUGUAAGUUGAAAAUUACUCGGAUGACUUGUGGAUAGGGGUGAAAGGCCAAUCAAACUCGGUGAUAGCUGGUUCUCCCCGAAAUAUAUUGAGGUAUAGCCUCGGAUUAAUCUUGCGGAGGUAGAGCACUGACAGGGCUAGGGGCCUCACCAGGUUACCAAACCCUAUCAAACUCCGAAUGCCGCACAGAUGAUGUCCGGGAGUCAGACGGCGGGUGCGAAGGUCCGUCGUCAAAAGGGAAACAGCCCAGAUCGCCAGCUAAGGUUCCUAAAUCCAUGCUCAGUGGGAAAGGAGGUGGGGUUACCUAGACAGCCAGGAGGUUGGCUUAGAAGCAGCCAUCCUUUAAAGAAAGCGUAAUAGCUCACUGGUCUAGUGACCCUGCGCCGAAAAUGUAACGGAGCUAAGCAUGGUACCGAAGCUGCGGGAGUAGCUAGUCUACUCGGUAGGGGAGCGUUCUCUUCUAGGAUGAAGGCGCAGGCGCAAGCCACGCUGGACGAAAGAGAAGUGAUUAUGCUGGCAUGAGUAACGAUAAAACGAGUGAGAAACUCGUUCGCCGUAAGCCCAAGGUUUCCUGGGUAAAGUUAAUCUUCCCAGGGUGAGUCGGCCCCUAAGGCGAGACCGAAAGGUGUAGUCGAUGGGAAACGGGUUAAUAUUCCCGUACUUGUGCAUGUUGCGACGGGGGGACGCAGGAGGGUAGGCCAUCCGGGUGUUGGACAUCCCGGUGUAAGCAGGUAGGCGUGCCGCGCAGGCAAAUCCGUGCGGCUUAGCCGAGAUGCGAUGCCGAGCCGCAAGGCGAAGUGGUCGAGCCCAGGCUGCCAAGAAAAGCCCCUAAGCUUCAGACAUGUGCAAACCGUACCGCAAACCGACGCAGGUGGGCGGGUCGAAUAGACCAAGGCGCUUGAGAAAACUCUGGCUAAGGAACUCGGCAAAUUGACCCCGUAAGUUCGCGAGAAGGGGUGCUCCUUUAGGUGUACGUUUCACUACGGAAGCCCAAGGGAGCCGCAGAGAAAUGGGGGUGGCGACUGUUUACUAAAAACACAGGUCUCUGCUAAGUCGCAAGACGAUGUAUAGGGACUGACGCCUGCCCAAUGCCGGAAGGUUAACGGGAGGAGUCAAGGCGAAAGCCGGCAGCUCUGAACCGAAGCCCCGGUUAAUGGCGGCCGUAACUAUAACGGUCCUAAGGUAGCGAAAUUCCUUGUCGGGUAAGUUCCGACCUGCACGAAUGGCGUAACGAUCCGAACGUUGUCUCAAGGGUGGGCCCGGUGAAGUUGUAUUACGAGUGAAGAUGCUCGUUACCCGCAUAAGGACGGAAAGACCCCGUGCACCUUUACUACAGCUUGAUAUUGGAUUUAGUAGCCUCUUGUAUAGGAUAGGUGGGAGACGUUGAUACUGGAGCGCUAGCUUCGGUGGAGUCAACCUUGGAAUACCACCCUGGUUGUUAUUGAAUUCUAACUUCGAACCCGUGAAUCCGGGCGGAGGACAGUGUCUGGCGGGUAGUUUGACUGGGGCGGUCGCCUCCCAAAGAGUAACGGAGGCGCCCCAAGGUUCCCUCAGCAUGUUUGGAAAUCAUGCGUAGAGUGUAAAGGCAUAAGGGAGCUUGACUGCGAGACCUACAAGUCGAGCAGGUGCGAAAGCAGGGCUUAGUGAUCCAGCGGUCCCGUAUGGAAGGGCCGUUGCUCAUCGGAUAAAAGGUACGCCGGGGAUAACAGGCUUAUCUCCCCCAAGAGUUCACAUCGACGGGGAGGUUUGGCACCUCGAUGUCGGCUCGUCACAUCCUGGGGCUGAAGCAGGUCCCAAGGGUUCGUCUGUUCGCCGAUUAAAGUGGCACGCGAGCUGGGUUUAAAACGUCGUGAGACAGUUUGGUCCCUAUCCUAUGCGGGCGCAGGAGAUUUGAUGGAAGUUGUCCCUAGUACGAGAGGACCGGGAUGAACGAACCUAUGGUGUUCCGGUUGUCACGCCAGUGGCACCGCCGGGUAGCUAUGUUCGGCCGGGAUAAGCGCUGAAAGCAUCUAAGCGCGAAGCCCCUCCAAAGAUAAGAUCUCCCUGGCCGAGAGGCCCUCAAGAGUCCUGGAAGACUACCAGGUUGAUAGGCAGGAGGUGUAAGCAUGGCGACAUGUUCAGCUGACCUGUACUAAUCACUCGUGAGGCUUGGUC
rnacentral:rRNA from 1 species